rnacentral:lncRNA from 1 species
CAAGGAUAUGAGCACUCAUAUGGAAGGUUUAACGAAACAUCACAUAUUUCUAUUUAAGAUCUAUAUUUUAUGGUUUACUUUUCAGUUAUAACACAAGCAUACAAUAUAAAGCACAAUAAAACAUUCAUUCCCUAACAUUUGACCUAAACCACACAUCAAAGAUUUUCACUCAAGAUCACAACAUAAAACUUGUAGAGUUUGACUUAGGAUUUCAAACAAAACUGAUUUUACAUUUUUAUGAACUUCCUACGGAAAUCUAUGAAAUGUAGAAGUUCAUCGAUUUGAAA